AGAGAGCGUUAUCAAUCAUUGACCCGAGUAAAACCUGUGAUGCUAAUAUGGGCCAAUUGGCGGUUUAACCACCUUACAUAACAGACGCCAGGAACUCUGCGAUAACCAGUUUGAAAGAAUCUCAGUACCCUCGCACAAACUCUUCAGUCUUUUACCGCCAAGACAUGGCCCCAAUCUAAAUCUUCGUAAGUACCAUGAGUAUGAUCUUCCACGAAUUCAGACACUCCUUCAUCCCAGCAACGUUUGCGAAAAAGUUUUUAAAGAC